UACGAAGGGGGCUAGCGUUGUUCGGAAUCACUGGGCGUAAAGGGCGCGUAGGCGGCUUUGUAAGUCGGGGGGUGAAAGCCUGUGGCUCAACCACAGAAUUGCCUUCGAUACUGCAUGGCUUGAGACCGGAAGAGGUAAGUGGAACUGCGAGUGUAGAGGUGAAAUUCGUAGAUAUUCGGAAGAACACCAGUGGCGAAGGCGACUUACUGGACACAUAUUGACGCUGAGGUGCGAAAGCGUGGGGAGCAAACAGG
rnacentral:rRNA from 1 species